UGGGUGUGGUUUAAACUAAUAUAUAAGUGUUUGUUGUAAUGGGUCUUUGCUCUGAAUAAUUCAAUAAUAGGCGAGAUGUCAAGAGCCAUUGUCCAUCAUCAUCAUCCACAGCAGCAGCACCGACAUCAUCUUUGCAAUGCAAUGGGGAAAAAAGAAUUGACGAACUGUUACUGAAAAUUAGAAAAUUAAAGUGGGAUGUUGAAAUGCUGGGUUGUCAGCGGCUCAGCGCCGUAUGAAAAAACUGAUUUUGUAGUGAUGCUUGGACGUAUUCAAACUUUCAUACAGUAGCAGUUAAGGCAAGGAUUAUUUCUUUGUGUGAUGAGACAAUGGCAUAAAUAAGACGAUGAUGGUUAUUCUUGUGUAUCAAUUAAGACAAUUUGUACUUAUGUAAAGUUUGAGUAUUAAAAAAGAAUGUAUAAAGGGUGCUUAUUCAUUUUGCCCUGACAUUCUUCCUUUAGAACCAAUUUGUACGUGGUAUGAUCAAACACGCUUAUUUCUUGUGUAGGAAUUGCGAGCGAGAGGGUUAAAAAAGUUUGGGGAUUGGUGUUUAAUGAACGCUCAAUUUUUAAAACGAGUACACUGUACCUACCGUGAAUAGACGUUCUGCUUGGUAUCGCGCAUUUGGUAAAAAUAGAAAAUUAUCAGCUCGCAUUAUGUCGACUUGCGUAUGCACUCAUUUCAUUGCACAGUGAUAUUCGCCGAUUCGCGAUGUGUUGUGGAAAAUAAUUUUGGUGUUUCUUUGUGAUAAUGAUUAAUUCGAUUAGUAUUCUCACUCGAACUCAGGUUUUCAUCUUGAAGCCGUGGUGCAGCCAAUUCCCGUUCUAAACGCUCCGUCUGGAGUUGGGAAUUUCUUUGUCUGGCCUGGAAAAUUGUCAGCAUCUUCUCCAGACACCCCAUUGAUAACAUCGCCAGCUCUUGGGGUGUGGACGGCUCGUGCCAUCUGGGCGAUUCAUGAGAUGGCGGCGGCGGUGGUGGUGGUGGCGCCUCUUCUUGGUCGAUGGCUGCUGAAGACGGCGGCGAGACGUGUUCAUAAAAUUCUCUUAGUAAUUGCAUAUCUUUUUCCCCCCUAGGCAACGGGGCACUGUAACAAUAAGAGAAACAAUAUUAAAAAUAGAUUAUAUGUAGAAUAAAAGUAACUUACUGAAAGUGA